ACGCGUAACGUAACNCGACGUAUACGGGGGAUAACACUUAGAAAUAGGUGCUAAUACCGCAUAAGCGCACAGCUUCGCAUGAAGCGGUGUGAAAAACUCUGGUGGUAUACGAUGGUUCCGCGUCUGAUUAGCUAGUUGGUGGGGUAAUGGCCUACCAAGGCAACGAUCAGUAGCCGGCCUGAGAGGGUGAACGGCCACAUUGGGACUGAGACACGGCCCAAACUCCUACGGGAGGCAGCAG
rnacentral:rRNA from 1 species